rnacentral:rRNA from 1 species
GACGUAGGGGGCCAGCGUUGUUCGGAAUUACUGGGCGUAAAGCGUGCGCAGGCGGCUUCUCAAGUCAGGGGUGAAAGCCCAGAGCUCAACUCUGGAAUUGCCUUUGAGACUGAGUGGCUUGAGUACGGGAGAGGUGAGUGGAAUUCCCAGUGUAGAGGUGAAAUUCGUAGAUAUUGGGAAGAACACCGGUGGCGAAGGCGGCUCACUGGCCCGUAACUGACGCUCAUGCACGACAGCGUGGGGAUCAAACAGG